UACGUAGGGGGCAAGCGUUGUCCGGAUUUACUGGGCGUAAAGGGCGCGUAGGCGGCGUGUUAAGUCACUUGUGAAAUCUCUGAGCUUAACUCAGAACGGUCAAGUGAUACUGAUGUGCUAGAGUGCAGAAGGGGCAACCGGAAUUCUUGGUGUAGCGGUGAAAUGCGUAGAUAUCAAGAGGAACACCUGAGGUGAAGACGGGUUGCUGGGCUGACACUGACGCUGAGGCGCGAAAGCUAGGGUAGCAAACGGG
rnacentral:rRNA from 1 species